CUUGGUCAUUUAGAGGAAGUAAAAGUCGUAACAAGGUUUCCGUAGGUGAACCUGCGGAAGGAUCAUUAGUGAACGCCCUCACGGGCUUAUAACUACUCCAAACCUCUGUGAACCGUGCCCUUCGGGGCUAUUUUACAAACAUGGUGUAAUGAACGUCAUAUAUCAUAACAAAACAAAACUUUCAACAACGGAUCUCUUGGCUCUCGCAUCGAUGAAGAACGCAGCGAAAUGCGAUAAGUAAUGUGAAUUGCAGAAUUCAGUGAAUCAUCGAAUCUUUGAACGCACCUUGCGCCCUCUGGUAUUCCGGAGGGCAUGCCUGUUUGAGUGUCAUGUAGACUCAAUCCCUCGGGUUUCCGAGGAGAUUGGACUUGGGUGUUGCCGCUCUGCCGGCUCGCCUUAAAAGACUUAGCGGGAUAGCACCGUAGUCGGCGUAAUAAGUUUCGUCGGUGAAGGUUGUGAUGACUGCUUACAAUCGCCCUCGGGCAAUUUUUGACUCUGACCUCAAAUCAGGUAGGACUACCCGCUGAACUUAAGCAUAUCAAUAAGCGGAGGA
rnacentral:rRNA from 1 species